GAUGAACGCUGGCGGCGUGCCUAAUACAUGCAAGUCGAGCGAACAGACGAGGAGCUUGCUCCUCUGACGUUAGCGGCGGACGGGUGAGUAACACGUGGAUAACCUACCUAUAAGACUGGGAUAACUUCGGGAAACCGGAGCUAAUACCGGAUAAUAUAUUGAACCGCAUGGUUCAAUAGUGAAAGACGGUUUUGCUGUCACUUAUAGAUGGAUCCGCGCCGCAUUAGCUAGUUGGUAAGGUAACGGCUUACCAAGGCGACGAUGCGUAGCCGACCUGAGAGGGUGAUCGGCCACACUGGAACUGAGACACGGUCCAGACUCCUACUGGAGGCAGCAGUAGGGAAUCUUCCGCAAUGGGCGAAAGCCUGACGGAGCAACGCCGCGUGAGUGAUGAAGGUCUUCGGAUCGUAAAACUCUGUUAUUAGGGAAGAACAAAUGUGUAAGUAACUAUGCACGUCUUGACGGUACCUAAUCAGAAAGCCACGGCUAACUACGUG
rnacentral:rRNA from 1 species